AUUGAACGCUGGCGGCAGGCCUAACACAUGCAAGUCGGGCGGAUGAAGGGAGCUUGCUCCUGGAUUCAGCGGCGGACGGGUGAGUAAUGCCUAGGAAUCUGCCUGGUAGUGGGGGAUAACGUCCGGAAACGGGCGCUAAUACCGCAUACGUCCUGAGGGAGAAAGUGGGGGAUCUUCGGACCUCACGCUAUCAGAUGAGCCUAGGUCGGAUUAGCUAGUUGGUGGGGUAAAGGCCUACCAAGGCGACGAUCCGUAACUGGUCUGAGAGGAUGAUCAGUCACACUGGAACUGAGACACGGUCCAGACUCCUACGGGAGGCAGCAGUGGGGAAUAUUGGACAAUGGGCGAAAGCCUGAUCCAGCCAUGCCGCGUGUGUGAAGAAGGUCUUCGGAUUGUAAAGCACUUUAAGUUGGGAGGAAGGGCAGUAAGCUAAUACCUUGCUGUUUUGACGUUACCAACAGAAUAAGCACCGGCUAACUUCGUG
rnacentral:rRNA from 1 species